rnacentral:rRNA from 1 species
UACAGUUGGGGUAAAUAAACUUUUUUGGUUAAUUAUUGUUAUGUUUUAUUAUAGGAUUUUUUUUUGUACAUUUAAGGUGAAAUUUCAAUUUACUUUGAUUAGUCUUGGUUAAUUAUUAAUAUAAGAAAGUGCAUUUUGAGACUA